GAUGAACGCUGGCGGCGUGCCUAAUACAUGCAAGUCGAGCGAACAGACGAGGAGCUUGCUCCUCUGACGUUAGCGGCGGACGGGUGAGUAACACGUGGAUAACCUACCUAUAAGACUGGGAUAACUUCGGGAAACCGGAGCUAAUACCGGAUAAUAUAUUGAACCGCAUGGUUCAAUAGUGAAAGACGGUUUUGCUGUCACUUAUAGAUGGAUCCGCGCCGCAUUAGCUAGUUGGUAAGGUAACGGCUUACCAAGGCAACGAUGCGUAGCCGACCUGAGAGAGUGAUCGGCCACACUGGAACUGAAACACGGUCCAGACUCCUACGGGAGGCAGCAGUAGGGAAUCUUCCGCAAAGGGCGAAAGCUUGACGGAGCAACGCCGCGUGAGUGAUGAAGGUCUUCGGAUCGUAAAACUCUGUUAUUAGGGAAGAACAAAUGUGUAAGUAACUAUGCACGUCUUGACGGUACCUAAUCAGAAAGCCACGGCUAACUACGUG
rnacentral:rRNA from 1 species